GACAGAGUUAUCCCUUUCCCGAGACGCAAACAAAAUUAAAAAAAAAAAAAAGGGAAGGAAAUGCAUAUGAAAAUGGCGGUAAGGCGGCAAAAAAGGGGAAGUAUAUAUGCUGCUGCACGUCUCGUUAACUCUUUUUUCUCUCGCUCGCAUCUACAUCGCUCUUCUCAUUCUCUUUGCGAGCCAGUUUUCCAGUUUUUGGUUCUGGAAGCAAAGACUUAAUGAAAGAGAGUACAUGAUGAAUAUCAAGAGCAAUUGUUGGCCUUCAGGAUCCUCCAGUCUCCCAAUUGUUGGAAAGAAAUUCUGGUUGUUCUGGAUUUUGUUUAAAAUUCAAUCCUUGUGAAUUUGGAGAUGCGGACUCUUUUUUGGUCUUUUCCCGGUCAAAUCCUCGCACACAGACAGAUCCUGCAAAACAUUUUUCACUACUUGUUUAGAUGUGUUAAGCUAUAUGGUCACUUGCUUUUCUUGUUGAUUAUCCUGUGUUCCUCCUAAUAGGAAAAAUUGCCUUUUCAUCAUUGUUUUAGAAAUAAACUCUAACUAAAAGAAGAGAAAGAAAUGAAAAUUGUUUGUAGAUGCACUUAAAAGUAGUAUGUCAUGUAUUCCUCCAAAAAAAAAAAAGGAAUCAUGAUUUUCAGAUUUACAAAUUGGUAUGAAAAUAAGAUGAUUGAGAUAGAUAUAAAACAGAUACUGCAAACAUUCUAAUAUGUACAUGCCAAUAUUCCAAUGUGAGAAGAGCAUAUGGAAGACCAAGUAUUAAAUGGUUGAAUUGAUGAGGAGAAACGUGGUUGCUUGCUACAUUAUUAAAAAAGUCCAUGGUCAGAGUUCUUUGGCAAAAGGUAAUUCCUACCAAGGAGAGUUCCUGUCAAGUAUCAACUAUGGUUUGAGGCUUUCAGUUCGUUCUGAUUAAGGAGUGUUGUUGCUGGAAUUAAACUACACGGGUGGCUUUACUAGUAAGUAGAAGUGUAGAACUAGAAGUUGCCAUGUAUACUUAACUGGGUCAAAAGUUGUCAAAUGCCUCAUCACUUGUGCAGGAAGUCAGUUUCUAAUUGAUUGGAACGGUGAUGUCUCUGCCCUUGUUUGUAUACAGUUAUCUGAUUAUUUAAUGUGCUACAGAUUCAAACUUAAGUAGCAUUUAUAAAAGUGGAAGUGUAGCGCAUAUUGUGAAAUGACUACAUACUCCACUGUCCUUCUAUAGAUGAAUUAGAUAUUUUAACCUAAGAGCAACAGAUAGCUGGUGGCACAUGAUGAUGCCAUCCAUCAUGUGACGAGUGAAUCAAAUUGUGCAAGCGUGUUAGGUUUUA